CUGGAAAUGCCCAGAACUCCUACGAAAGCCUUGUCAAAUAGGUGUUUCUAGGUUCACGGUACAGAGGAAGGGUCACACUACCACCAGGGUCAUAGAACUACUCCUGGAAAUGCCCACAACCCCUACAAAAGCCUUGUCAAAUAGGUGUUUCUAGGUUCAUGGCACAGAAGAAGGGUCACACUACCACCAGGGUCAUAGAACUACUCCUGGAAAUGCCCACAACUCCUACGAAAGCCUUGUCAAAUAUGUGUUUCUAGGUUCAUGGUACAGAGGAAGGGUCACACUACCACCAGGGUCAUAGAACUGCUCCUGGAAAUGCCCACAACUCCUACGAAAGCCUUGUCAAAUAUGUGUUUCUAGGUUCACGGUACAGAGGAAGGGUCACACUACCACCAGGGUCAUAAAACUACUCCUGGAAAUGCCCACAACUCAUACGAAAGCCUUGUCAAAUAUGUGUUUCUAGGUUCACGGUACAGAAGAAGGGUCAGACUACCACCAGGGUCAUAGAACUGCUCCUGGAAAUGCCCACAACUCCUACGAAAGCCUUGUCAAAUAUGUGUUUUUAGGUUCACGGUACAGAGGAAGGGUCACACUACCACUAGGGUCAUAGAACUGCUCCUGGAAAUGCCCACAACUCCUACGAAAGCCUUGUCAAAUAUGUGUUUCUAGGUUCACGGUACAGAGGAAGGGUCACACUACCACCAGGGUCAUAGAACUGCUCCUGGAAAUGCCCACAACUCCUACGAAAGCCUUGUCAAAUUAGUGUUCUUGGGCGGCGAAAUGUCUUAUACUACCACCCGCUAAUGGCCGGUCUUCAGCAUUCAAAACAUUGUUAGGAAGACACACAGUUCCAUUGAA